CGCUCUUCAACGAGGAAUCCCUAGUAAGCACAAGUUAUUAGCUUGUGCUGAUUACGUCCCUGCCCUUUGUACACACCGCCCGUCGCUACUACCGAUUGAAUGGCUUAGUGGGGCCUUCGGAUCGUUAGAUUAGAACUGUAAAAGGUUUUUUUCUGAUGAGAAGUUGGUCGAACUUGGUCAUUUAGAGGAAGUAAAAGUCGUAACAAGGUUUCCGUAGGUGAACCUGCGGAAGGAUCAUUACAAAUCAUGGCGAACCACGCGUUUCGCGAGAUUUUGCCGUUCGUAUUUAAAACAUCCCAGUCUUUAAAAAAAUUAUCUAAUGAUAAAAUAAAAAAAGAUCACUUUCAACAACGGAUCUCUUGGCUCUCGCAUCGAUGAAGAACGUAGCGAAGUGCGAUAUGUAAUGUGAAUUGCAGAAUUCCGUGAAUCAUCGAAUUUUUGAACGCAAAUUGCACUCUCUUCGGAGAGUAUACCUGUUUGAGGGUCAGCCUAAAAAAAAUCGACAUAGUUGCUGUUUAUCGGUGACAUUUGUCGGAAAUUGGGCCAUCUUAGAACCUUUGGUUUUUAAGCGGCUUAAAAUUUUCCCUACGAUUCCACGAACGUUUCUAAGAUUUUAUUUCUUUUACGUUUAAGGUAUCGAUCUUAUUAGAUGAGGCCGUCACAUCGGAUCGCGUCUAUAAUCUUUCGUUAACUGACCUCAGACAGGUAAGAGUACCCGCUGAACUUAAGCAUAUCAAUAAGCGGAGGAAAGAAAAUAACAAUGAUUUCCUUAGUAACGGCGAGUGAAGGGGGAAAAGCUCAAUUUUAAAUCGGCGCAGGUUUACCUAGUCGAGUUGUAAUUUUGAAGAAGCGUUUUCCACAUCCGGGUUGGCCCAAUCCCUUUGGGGAUAGGUAUCAUGGGAGGGUGAGAUCCCGUCCGGUUGACCUCAGGAUUGUUUUACGAUUACGCUUUCUAGAGUCGAGUUUGAUUGGCAUUGCAGCUUCAAAAUGGAGUAAUUUCUCCUAACGCUUAAUACCGCGAGAGACGGAUAGCGACCAGUACCGGUGAGGUAGAUUGAAAGGACUUUGGAAAGGAAGUUACGUACUGCAAUUGCUGAA
rnacentral:rRNA from 1 species